rnacentral:misc_RNA from 1 species
GGGACUCUACGGCCUCCGUAGUUCCCCAAAGCGAUUGGCGGAGUGGCAGUAGUCCUCUGAGCGUAGUAAUUUUUUAUCUCGCUUUUGUUAGGUGCUGCCCCCCCGGCCGUUAAACCCCCCCAAUUUUUUCUGGUUGACCUCGGAUCAGGUAGGAAUACCCGCUGAACUUAAGCAUAUCAAUAAGCGGAGGAAAAGAAACCAACAGGGAUUCCCCUAGUAACGGCGAGUGAAGCGGGAACAGCUCAAAUUUGAAAUCUGGCCCUUGGGUCCGAGUUGUAAUUUGUAGAGGAUGCUUUUGGUGCGGUGCCUUCCGAGUUCCCUGGAACGGGACGCCUUAGAGGGUGAGAGCCCCGUACGGUUGGACGCCUAGCCUCUGUAAAGCUCCUUCGACGAGUCGAGUAGUUUGGGAAUGCUGCUCUAAAUGGGAGGUAUAUUUCUUCUAAAGCUAAAUACUGGCCAGAGACCGAUAGCGCACAAGUAGAGUGAUCGAAAGAUGAAAAGCACUUUGAAAAGAGGGUUAAAUAGCACGUGAAAUUGUUGAAAGGGAAGCGUUUAUCACCAGACUUUUUCUGGGGGGAUCAUCCGGUGUUCUCACCGGUGCACUUCCCCCAGUUGAGGCCAGCAUCGGUUUUCGGAGGGGGAUAAAAGCUUCGGGAAUGUGACUCCC